CCCUGGCUCAGGACGAACGCUGGCGGCGUGCCUAAUACAUGCAAGUCGAGCGGAUCUUGUCCUUCGGGACAAGGUUAGCGGCGGACGGGUGAGUAACACGUGGGUAACCUGCCUAUAAGACUGGGAUAACAUUCGGAAACGAAUGCUAAUACCGGAUACGCGGUUUGGUCGCAUGACCGGAUCGGGAAAGAUGGAGCAAUCUAUCACUUACAGAUGGACCCGCGGCGCAUUAGCUAGUUGGUGAGGUAACGGCUCACCAAGGCGACGAUGCGUAGCCGACCUGAGAGGGUGAUCGGCCACACUGGGACUGAGACACGGCCCAGACUCCUACGGGAGGCAGCAGUAGGGAAUCUUCCGCAAUGGACGAAAGUCUGACGGAGCAACGCCGCGUGAGUGAUGAAGGUUUUCGGAUCGUAAAGCUCUGUUGCCAGGGAAGAAUGCUUGGGAGAGUAACUGCUCCCAAGGUGACGGUACCUGAGAAGAAAGCCCCGGCUAACUAC
rnacentral:rRNA from 1 species